GGAGCAGCCCAGAGCCUGAAUCAGUGUGUGUGUUAGUGGAAGCGUCUGGAAAGGCGCGCGAUACAGGGUGACAGCCCCGUACACAAAAAUGCACAUGCUGUGAGCUCGAUGAGUAGGGCGGGACACGUGGUAUCCUGUCUGAAUAUGGGGGGACCAUCCUCCAAGGCUAAAUACUCCUGACUGACCGAUAGUGAACCAGUACCGUGAGGGAAAGGCGAAAAGAACCCCGGCGAGGGGAGUGAAAAAGAACCUGAAACCGUGUACGUACAAGCAGUGGGAGCACAGAGCAAUCUGUGUGACUGCGUACCUUUUGUAUAAUGGGUCAGCGACUUAUAUUCUGUAGCAAGGUUAACCGAAUAGGGGAGCCGAAGGGAAACCGAGUCUUAACUGGGCGUUAAGUUGCAGGGUAUAGACCCGAAACCCGGUGAUCUAGCCAUGGGCAGGUUGAAGGUUGGGUAACACUAACUGGAGGACCGAACCGACUAAUGUUGAAAAAUUAGCGGAUGACUUGUGGCUGGGGGUGAAAGGCCAAUCAAACCGGGAGAUAGCUGGUUCUCCCCGAAAGCUAUUUAGGUAGCGCCUCGUGAAUUCAUCUCCGGGGGUAGAGCACUGUUUCGGCAAGGGGGUCAUCCCGACUUACCAACCCGAUGCAAACUGCGAAUACCGGAGAAUGUUAUCACGGGAGACACACGGCGGGUGCUAACGUCCGUCGUGAAGAGGGAAACAACCCAGACCGCCAGCUAAGGUCCCAAAGUCAUGGUUAAGUGGGAAACGAUGUGGGAAGGCCCAGACAGCCAGGAUGUUGGCUUAGAAGCAGCCAUCAUUUAAAGAAAGCGUAAUAGCUCACUGGUCGAGUCGGCCUGCGCGGAAGAUGUAACGGGGCUAAACCAUGCACCGAAGCUGCGGCAGCGACGCUUAUGCGUUGUUGGGUA
rnacentral:rRNA from 1 species